ensembl:lncRNA
AAAUAAAGUAGUGACAAAAUAAAGUAGCGAUAAAAUAAAAGUAGUGAUAAAAUACAAUAGCAAUCGCAUAAAUCACGAAGGUGGUAAAAAUAAAAAAAACUGUACAGACACACAUCACACACGAAUACGUAGAUAAUUAAUAAUAUUAAAAAAACAAAAAUGGUGAAAACACGAAAGAACAUCGAAAAUAUGGAAAUUUAUGAUUAUAUGAAGGAACUAAAUGAAAAGAUGUGGGGGACAUUUUUUGAAGAUUCACUGGCACACGAAACAAUAUUAAACUCUUUAGGUGAAUUAGAACAAAUUAUAAUAACAAGAUUAUUAUUUAUUCAACAAGUUGUAUCAGAAAGGGCAAUGCGAUUGUGGAUAAACCCAAAUUGUUUUAAAAAAUUAAGUGAAAGUAUAAAAAAUUUAGUAGAUGCAAAAAUUUUAAUAGAAAACAAAACUAAAAAAGAUAGUUGUAAUCAGUAUAUUAUUAAUGAAAAAUUUCGACUUACUUUAUUAAACAAAAUUUAUAAAAAUGAUGAAAAUAAUAUUUUUAUAUUUAAUAAUAAUAUUAAAGAACAAUUAGAAAAAGAAAAAAAAUUAUUUGAAAAAAAAUUAUAUCCGUCAAAAAAAGAAAUUUCUACAUAUGCCAACACUAAAUGGAAUAACUUACUACACUUCAUAGCAUCACCCAAAACUUAUAACAACCAUAUGAGUAAUAAUAAUAUGAUCAACAACGAUGCGGAUAAUAUUAACGUGGCUAGUUAUAAUAUGGUUAGUUAUAACAUGGCUAAUUAUAACGUAGCUAGCUAUAAUAAUAAUAAUAAUAAUAAAAAUCCAAAAGAAAAAAAUUACGAAUAUAGUUUUGAAGAUCCAAGUAACGAUAACUAUGCAAAAAAUAAAGAAAAUAGCAGUAAUUAUACUUCAUUUUAUAAUAAUGAUAUUUAUUUGAAAAAAAAAAAAUAUGGCAAUGGUAAUGGUAAUGGCAAUGGUAAUGGCAAUGGUAAUGGCAAUGGUAAUGGCAAUAAAAAUGACAAUGACAACAUGAAAAACGAAAAGUGGAGAGUACCACGUGAUAAACAAAUAUAUGAUGAGAAAAAUUAUACUAAUAAAGAAUACGAGAAAGAAUAUGAGGGCAGUGAUUUACUUGAUAAUAACGAGUCUUACGAUAACAAUAACGAAGAUUACAACGAGAAUAAUGCUACUGAUGAAGAAGAAUAUGAUCCAUAUGGAAAACAAAAUGAUCAGUUAUAUAAUAAUAACUGUAUAAACAAAAAUAAAUAUAAAAAUAUAAAUAACAAUAAUAAUAUAAGUGCCAAUGCCAGUUCUAGUGCCAGUGUCAAUGCCAGUGUCAGUUCCAGUGUUAGUGCCAAUGACAAUAUAAAUAAAAUAAAUCAUGAUAUUAUAUAUGGAAAACCAGGUUAUAAUGAAAGAAAAAAAAGAAGAAAAAAAAAACAGAAAGGAGUAUAUGCACUUAGACAAAAUGAUUUAUAUUAUAAAAGUUUAAAUAAUACAGAAAAUAGUUAUAUAGAAGAAGAAAGUAGUAAUGAUUUUUUUUUUCCUACAACAAAUAACAACACACCUUUUAUUUAUACUCCUUGUGAUAGUGUAGUCGAAGUAUUAAAAAGUAAAAAUUUUCUUUUAGAAGAUAUAAAUAAUAAUAAUAAUAAAGCAAUAAAUAUAAGUAGAGAAGCUUUUUCAUGGUUUCUUAAAGAUAUAAGAAGUAGAAUUAUAUCAUUAGUUUUAGAAUAUUUGUUAAUUCUGGAUAACGGAUUUGUAACUGAUUUUGCUAAAGAAGUGUUCAUUAAGUUUAGAAAAAAAAAAAAAAAAAGUGAGUCACAAAGCCCCUCAACUAGUCGACCAAGCAGUCAGACAAAUAGUCGACUAAGCAGUCAGACAAGUUUAGACAACACAAGUGAUAAAAUGAAAUAUGUGAGUAAAAAUAUUAAUUAUUUUAAUAAAACAAUUAGUAGUAUCGAUAAUAAUAAUAAUAAUAAUAAUAAUAAUAAUAAUAAUAAUAAUAAUAAUAAAAAAAAAAAAGAAAAAAAAAAUCCAAUUAAAUAUGAACAAACCCAAUUAAAUAUGAACAAAACCAAUUAAAUAUGAACAAACCCAAUUAAAUAUGAACAAAACCAAUUAAAUGUAAAAUCAAAAAUCGUUGUAUUUUUUUUAUUUUUUUAUUUUUAUUAUGCAAACUAUUAGGGUUAUGCAAACUAUAAGGGCUAUGCAAACUAUAAGUGUUAUGCAAGCUAUAAGAAAAAAAAAAUUAUUCGAAACAUGUACAUAUGUACAAAAAAAAAAGCAAAAAAAAAUUGUCUUACUUUAAAUCGAUUUAACAAUUCAGCCAAUUUUGGAUUUUUAUUUUCGUUCUUCAUUAAAAAUUUUAAAAAUUUAAAACAUUUUUUCAUUUUGUUUUUUACAGGAUCCAUAUAGUUGUUAUCUUUUAAAAGCGCGUCGUCUAUGUUUUCAUUACAAUUUAUAUACAUUUCCAGUGCUACAAAAAAAAAAAAAUAAAAAAAAAAAUAAUGAAAAUGAGAAUGUAAAA